rnacentral:misc_RNA from 1 species
GAGGAAACUGCACAUUGAUGGAUGGAAGGCAAAUAGGAUUGGUGACGAGGGUUUAGUAGCGGUUGCCAGAAAUUGCUCUAACCUUCAAGAACUUGUUCUCAUCGGAGUGAAUCCCACCAAGGUUAGCCUGGAAAUAUUGGCCUCGAAUUGCCGAAAUUUAGAGCGGUUGGCAUUGUGCGGCAGCGAUACUGUUGGUGAUAG